CCUACGGGUGGCAGCAGUGGGGAAUAUUGGACAAUGGGCGAAAGCCUGAUCCAGCCAUGCCGCGUGUGUGAAGAAGGCCUUCGGGUUGUAAAGCACUUUCAGUGGGGAAGAAAGCCUUGGGGCUAAUACCCUCGAGGAAGGACAUCACCCACAGAAGAAGCACCGGCUAACUCCGUGCCAGCAGCCGCGGUAAUACGGAGGGUGCGAGCGUUAAUCGGAAUUACUGGGCGUAAAGCGCGCGUAGGCGGUCUGAUAAGCCGGUUGUGAAAGCCCCGGGCUCAACCUGGGAACGGCAUCCGGAACUGUCAGGCUAGAGUGCAGGAGAGGAAGGUAGAAUUCCCGGUGUAGCGGUGAAAUGCGUAGAGAUCGGGAGGAAUACCAGUGGCGAAGGCGGCCUUCUGGACUGACACUGACGCUGAGGUGCGAAAGCGUGGGUAGGAAACAGGAUUAGAUACCCGAGUAGUC
rnacentral:rRNA from 1 species